CAGUUUUCUUUCUCUUUUGUAGGCUAUUCAGUGCUGUUAGUCUGGGUGUAUUCCAGCACAGCGUCUGUCUGUCUGUCUGUCUGUCUAUCUGGCCCCAUUUUCUCUUGUGUCUGAGGUGCUUACAGGGCUGUAGCUUACUGAUCAGGAGGGACUGCUUGCCACACAUAACAGUAAAGAAAAACUCGGCACGCUCUCUCUCUGACAUCGCCAGAGCCUCCCAACGAACGUCAGCGGAAUGCGUGUUCCAUUACUUAUUGGCAUACUUUGGUUGUGUGUGUGAGUGUGCAGCUUGGAGCAGUCAUAACAACCUCGCACGAAGACGGAAGAAGCAUCCUCUUCAAAGGGCAGUGCCUUGAUGUUCUCAUCGAAGUGCAAACAAGACUCCAUACUUCAAGACUUCAAAUGUGGAGAGAGAGAGAGAGGGAAACAAUUGUGCCUCCUCAAAGUGUACAGGAAGGGAAGCGGAGAUCUUUAUCCACCGGUUGUUGAGUCUUCAACGGUUGGUUUAGUAAUGUUGCAUUAUUAAAACCCCUGGCUGUGGCUGAAAACGAGCUUCGGUGCGGCUUGCGGUGUGCGGCUGACGACAAGGUUUGGGGAUUGAAAUGCUAUCCACCAAUGUCUCCACAUGAAUAAGUUAUUCCCCUUGUACUGUUGUGUCCCUGGUCCGCUGCUGCAGGCCUUCUAAUUGCCUCCCACAUGGUCGGGAAAGAAAUACACACAUACAGACACUCAUAGGGUAUUGACAACAGAGAGGCACAUAUACACACAUUUUUUUCUGCACACCAUAGUGGACAUUACAGUGAAAAACCCACGACCUGGACAUAUAUAGUCGAUAACUAGCAUGAUUAUUUAAUUGAGUGGUGCUUUGAGAAACUCCCUUGUUUGUGGGUAACAUUUAAAUACGCAAAUAGUGAAAAGACACAGUGAUCUGAGGUUACAAACCCAAUGUGAACAGUUACUCUUAUAUGAUAUCUACUAAACAAGACCAGUAAACAUUGAAACAUGCUUGAGUCAUUGCUUGCUCUUGUCAUCCUAACUAACCCAC
ensembl:lncRNA